GGUUUAAGAAUGUAUGAAAGGUUUUCUCUGAAAAGGAGAAAAACAAACUGAUCUGAUUGUGAGCGCAUGCUGCUCAUAAACCCGUAUUUUGCAUUAAUGGUGCAAUCCCAGAUGUGGUGGAUCGGCAUCCUGUACUUGGACUAAUUCUUCAUGAUUUUUCCACAGAGUGGGCCAGGACAGCUCUGAGUUUCCCAGUGGUCAGUCUGCCCAGCAGCAUGAAACACAUCUGGACUCCAUAUUUAUGCUGCUGGAGGACAAUAUCAUCAUUUUUGUAAAGAAUGAGCUGAAGAAGAUCCAGAAGGUUCUGAGUCCAGAUUACCCAGAAUGCGUAGAGAAUAAGAUUGUGAAUGAGGAGGUUUUGAAGGGUGAGGAUGAUGAGCAGCAGAGCAGCAGAGCAGCAGAGAAGCAUUUGUGAAGAUCACAUUGCACUUCCUAAGGAAACUGAAGCAGGAGGAGCUGGCUGACUGUCUGCAGAGCAAACAUGUUGCAGCAAUUUGUAAAUGUAAACUUAAAACGAAGUUGAAGAAGAAGUUCCAGUGUGUGUUUGAGGGGAUUGCUAAAGAAGGAAACCCAACCCUUCUGAAUCA